rnacentral:rRNA from 1 species
AGGUGUGGAUAGGGGAGAAAUUCCAAUCGAACCCGGAGAUAGCUGGUUCUCCUCGAAAUAGCUUUAGGGCUAGCCUCGAUACAGAUUUGCGGAGGUAGAGCACUGAAUUUCCUAGGGGGCGUCAAAGCCUACCGAAGAAUAUCAAACUCCGAAUGCCGCGUAAUCGAUUAUCGGGAGUCAGACUGCACGAGAUAAGUUGGGCGGUCAAAAGGGAAAGAGCCCAGACCUUCAGUUAAGGUCCCCAAGUGCGCGUUAAGUGGAAAAGGAUGUGGGAUUUCGAAGACAACCAGGAUGUUGGCUCAGAAGCAGCCAUCCAUUCAAAGAGUGCGUAAUAGCUCACUGGUCGAGAGGUCCUGCGCCGAAAAUGUCCGGGGCUGAAACGCGCCACCGAAACUAAGGAACCGAAAGGUUGGUAGAGGAGCAUUGCAUGCGGGAAGAAGCAGUACCGUAAGGAGCUGUGGACUGCAUGGAAGAGAGAAUGCCGGAAUGAGUAGCGAGAAUAAGGUGAGAAUCCUUAUGGCCGAAUAUCCAAGGUUUCCAGAGUAAAGCUGAUCUGCUCUGGGUAAGUCGGGGCCUAAGGCGAGGACGAGAGUCGUAGCCGAUGGACAACAGGUGGAGAUUCCUGUACUGCGGUAUGACAGAACUGUGGGGACACGUAAGGAAAGCGGAAGCCGGGAAUGGAAAGCCCGGUGCAAGCGGGGUACCAGUCACUUUGGCAAAUCCGGGUGGCAAUGGGAAGCCGUGAUGCGGAGCGAAAUAAAGUAGCGAAGUCCGUGAGCCAUGCGUCAAGAAAAGCCGCUAUUGUUUAUACCGUACCCGUACCGUAAACCGACACAGGUGGAUGAGGAGAGAAUCCUAAGGCCGGCGGAAGAAGCAUUGUCAAGGAACUCGGCAAAAUGGCCCCGUAACUUAGGGAUAAGGGGUGCCUGGGAAACCAGGCCGCAGAGAAUAGGCUCAAGCAACUGUUUAGCAAAAACACAGGUCUAUGCGAAACCGAAAGGUGAGGUAUAUGGGCUGACGCCUGCCCGGUGCUGGAAGGUUAAGGGGAGAGGUUAGCGCAAGCGAAGCUUUGAACUUAAGCCCCAGUAAACGGCGGCCGUAACUAUAACGGUCCUAAGGUAGCGAAAUUCCUUGUCGGGUAAGUUCCGACCC